rnacentral:rRNA from 1 species
GGGGGGGGGGGGGGGCGGGGCGGGGGGGGGGGGGGCGGGCGGACAGGGGCGGCGGUGGCGCCUCUGGGGUUGGGGGGGGGCGGGUGAGUAGCACGUGUAGAGCCUGCCGAUAAGACUUGGCUCACUUCGGGACGCCGGCGCUAAUACCGGCUACUAUAUUGACCCGCAGUGUUCACUCGUGACAGACGGUUUUGCUGUCCCAUAUCGAUGUAUCCGCGCCGCAUUAGCUCGUUGGUAAGGUCACGGCUUACCCAGGCGACGCUGCGUAGCCGACCUGAGAGGGUGAUCGGCCACACUGGAACUGAGACACGGUCCAGACUCCUACGGGAGGCAGCAGUAGGGAAUCUUCCGCAAAGGGCGAAAGCCUGACGGAGCAACGCCGCGUGAGUGAUGAAGGUCUUCGGAUCGUAAAACUCUGUUAUUAGGGAAGAACAAAUGUGUAAGUAACUAUGCACGUCUUGACGGUACCUAAUCAGAAAGCCACGGCUAACUACGUG